rnacentral:lncRNA from 1 species
UGCCUCCCCCAAACCCCACGAAGCCACCACCACUAGAACAAUCUGCAGUUAACCAGCCACCACCACCCUCCGGAUACAGCUCGCCAACACCAGAACCUGCACUCACCUCCUCGGUGCUCCACAGCCGCUGCUGCACCUACAGGUGUGGAUUGUGUGCAAUUGUAGGUAUACGGUGGUUGGCUUGAGGUAUCACCGUCAAAUAUUUGGUGGAGGCUGAAGUGGCAGUCGAGUGAGAGGAGGGAUUACGUCGCUUAACCUGGUUACAUGGCUUGACACUUGAGCUUUAAUGGUUGACAUGGAUCUGCUAUCUCAGAUAGUAGAACCUAAGUUAAUUGGAUUAAAGUUUGCAGCCAACGUGGGGGAGUGAUGGUGAGAUCCGCCGUUUAUGAAAGUGGGUUUGUUCCGAAUUUAUCAAAUGCGAGAGGAUUUGGUGAUUUGCUAGGAAGUCAAAUGCGAGACAUAUGA